AUACUUACCUGGCAGGGGAGAUACCAUGAUCACGAAGGUGGUUUUCCCAGGGCGAGGCUUAUCCAUUGCACUCCGGAUGUGCUGACCCCUGCGAUUUCCCCAAAUGUGGGAAACUCGACUGCAUAAUUUGUGGUAGUGGGGGACUGUGUUCGCGCUCUCCCCUA
rnacentral:snRNA from 1 species